GCCCGCGCACCUGGGCCGCACCUGGGCCGCACCUGGGCCGCGCCGGAGCCCUCCGCCCGCGCGCCCAGCGCCCACCGCCUGCCCCGCUCGUGCCGCAGCGCAGCCGCAGUUCCCACCCGCAGUCCCACACGCCCUCUCCGCCCCGGGGCCCAGCACACCGGCGGUCCGCACCGCGUCAACCCCACGGCCGUUCCCCUGCCCACGAGCCUGCCACCCUGGCCCCUGCUGCCCAAGGGGCUGAGGACACAGCCGCGCGCCAAGAACCACACCAGCAGAUUCCUGCGUGGAACACACACUCCCUGAGUGAGACAGACAGACAGACAGUACUCCAAUCACAGAGUGAGACACACUGGAUUCCCUUGGAAACGUCAUCUGGCCGGGCUGUCGUGUUCCGGGCUCUAUCUUUAAGGGAAAUGGUGUAUCGCCGUUACUCGUAAAGUUCUCGAAAGAUGUCUGCACGUCCAAGGGCAGCGGUGGGUCAUCACGACCUCUCACAGGACCGAGAAAGGAAUGUUAUCUUCCAAAGAGUUACAUGGCUGACGUCAAGGGAAGAAAAAUAGAUUUUUAUGGUUGAGCAGGUGUUUCCAUCCAUGUCCAGGCCAAGCACCGUGAGAUCUGGCCACCCUCGUGGCCCGGCUGGAGGAGGCCCCCAGAGCCCCAGCGGGUCCCUCCCCAGGGGCUCCGGGCACCUUCGUGGGAUCUAUAUGUCCGGCUUCCUGGAGCGUAGCGGUCACCUCUAGCCAGGCUGGAAGCCAGGGUCACGGAUCUGAGUUCUUUCUCAUCGCCCAGUACGGGCACUUGGCGGCGGAAAUUUCACCCUGCGUCCUGCCGUAGCAGCUUUCGAAAUAAGAGCUGCCUUUCAGCAAAUGUCCUUCCCCUGACGUUUAACAAUCAUGAACCGUUUAAGACACACCAGCAACAUAAAUAAAAAUCGGAAAAACCUGCACCUACCCACCCAGCCGUUGGCCUAAGAAACCCGACACCCGACCAGGCUGUGCUCCCCGGGUGACCCCUCACGGAAGAGCCCCUCCCCCGCCGCAGGGGACUGUCCAUCUGAGACGGGGACGCCUCGCACCUGGGGCACAGAACUUGUUUCCAUGUGUUGAAACGUGUUAUGGAAGCAACAUCACCCUGUGUUCCCCUUUCUCGCCUUUCUCGCCGCUGCCCGCGCUGUGUCUGGGAGACUCUGCCAGGGGCACGUGUAGCUGUGGUCACGGUUUUGACUGUGUCCACUCCGGCCACGGAUACACCUCCACGUGGCUCCCCUGGGCGAAGGUUUGGGGCGGCUCUGAUUUUCUGUGAUCCCCCGCAGGGACCUGGAUUAGCUGCCCAGAUGCGGCCGAGCUCCUCCCAGACGCCACCCCCAUGUGCCUCCUCCAGGGACGUGUGAGCAGCGCCUCCCUGCUGAGCCUCGAGAGGAAGGUGCAGAGACAUCAGGGACAAGGACGCCCCCCGACCUCGCUCCGGCCCAGCACCACGGAUGCGGGGCCUCCUGGCAUCGGGGCAGCGCACUGCGCUUAGCGCUCCUGCGCCUUUCUCGUUUCACCCGGAUCAGGCCACCACUGUUUUCCCCUUGGCUUUUAGAUCAGCAGCAGCUUUGAAGAGUCUCGGCUGCUUGUCUGGAAGCGGGUCCUGCAGUCGGGUUUGUGGGGCCGUGUCUUCAUGAUCAGACGCGGGUUGAACUUUGGGGCCAGAACGUGGCUUCCGUGGUGCCGCACCCUCAGUGCGCGUCACGCCAGGGGCGCGUGCCUGUUUGUCUCACUGUCGGUGACACGAGGAAGGACCCCUAGGCGCAGCUGUGGUCCACCAGUUUCCUCUGUUUCCAAGGCACCCUUUGAACUUUGCAAAUAAUGGAAGACAUUUUCGCACAUCGGGGUCUGGGGAAGUCAUUCUGAUUGAACUUGAAUUUUAUGCUAAAUAAAACAGCCUGGUACACCCGCUUUAAUUAUUAAAGAAAAGGGCACAUUGAUCAGAAGUAAAGAAUGUCCGCGUUAAAAAUAUAGAUGAGAUGCCGCCCUUCCUGGGACACCAGUGCUGGUCCUGCUUCGAUGACAAGCCCCCUUCCCAGGCAGCAAGGUCACUCUGACUCGCUGUGGACGUGCAGGUCUGUGUUUUCUGAAACCUGAAGGAGAGCAGCCCUGACUUGUUUGAGGUUCUGUGUUCUGACGGGAUAUUAAACUGUGCCGAAACCCGUGCUGCUCUGGGGCAGCUCCUCAGGGCCAUCUGAGAGGCUGGCUUCGGGGCUAGUCUGUUUGGCCCAAAUAAAACUCUUCUUUAUUCCUUUA